rnacentral:rRNA from 1 species
GACAGAGGCCUCAAGCGUUAGGCGGAAUCACUGGGCUUAAAGCGUGUGUAGGCGGAUCGUUAAGUGCCUUGUGAAAUCCCACGGCUUAACUGUGGAACGGCUGGGCAUACUGGCGGUCUUGAGCCAUCUAGGGGCGACUGGAACAAACGGUGGAGCGGUGAAAAUGCGUAGAUAUCGGAAGGAACACCGGUGGCGAAAGCGGCGCGCUGGACCUCUUCUGACGCUGAGGCGCGAAAGCCAGGGGAGCGAACGGG